AGAACUACUUCGUGUAGACAAAGACACAGAAAAGUGCAAAAAAUAAAUCCUCUUUUGCAACCCAGAACUUAUUGUUUAAUAUGAGUUUUGAUACAUAUAAGAAAGACUAUU
rnacentral:snoRNA from 1 species